rnacentral:rRNA from 1 species
AUUGAACGCUGGCGGUAUGCCUUACACAUGCAAGUCGAACGGUAGAGGGGCAACCCUUGAGAGUGGCGAACGGGUGAGUAAUACAUCGGAACGUGCCCAGUCGUGGGGGCUAACGUAGCGAAAGCUCUGUUAAUACCGCAUACGACCUGAGGGUGAAAGCGGGGGAUCGCAAGACCUCGCGCGAUUGGAGCGGCCGAUGGCAGAUUAGGUAGUUGGUGGGGUAAAGGCCUACCAAGCCUGCGAUCUGUAGCUGGUCUGAGAGGACGACCAGCCACACUGGGACUGAGACACGGCCCAGACUCCUACGGGAGGCAGCAGUGGGGAAUUUUGGACAAUGGGCGAAAGCCUGAUCCAGCCAUGCCGCGUGAGUGAAGAAGGCCUUCGGGUUGUAAAGCUCUUUCGGCCGGGAAGAAAUCGCAUUCUCUAACAUAGGAUGUGGAUGACGGUACCGGACUAAGAAGCACCGGCUAACUACGUGCCAGCAGCCGCGGUAACAC